AGAGCCCUAAUUUUAAAUAUCUUUCUCUUUUUUGUUCUCUUUUCAUUGCCGUCUCAAGCGAUUAUAUUCUCCUCCUUUUUCCCAAUCUAUUCUCUCCCCCUUUCUGUUGUCAUACAAUGGUGUCUAGCAUUGGACCAGAGGAAUGUAGGGUUUCUAUUCCUGUUUUUGGGGAUUUUGAAUACCCUCCCACUAACAUACACAGCCCUCAAACCCCUGUUCUCAUUUGAUCUCUUUUUCUUCUCAUCUGUUACAGCAAUUAAUGUUGGUUCACAGUUGGGAUUAAUCUAGAAUGUAACGCUAAAGCAGAAAUUGCUUAAUUUGAACGAAAAUGUAAAGUUUAAGGCUUAGGAGGAGCUAGGUCAUGAACCGAUUCAAAACCAAAGGGGAGCCAAAUUGAGAAUCACGGUGUGCAUACGCAGUCAGCAGCUGUAAUUAUGGCUUGCUCCACCUCUGUGAAGGAGUGCCAGGGUUCGCUCGACCAUGCACAUGUUGCUGUUGUAAGCGAGCAUACGGAAAGCAAUAUAUGAAGAUUUUUAUCUGAUGAAAUGGUGGCGUACUCUCUCUUAGAUGGAGCUAGGUUGAACAUGAUCAUGGAUAAUUAAAUGUUUGUAAGGCUGAGCUAAUUCUAGAGGUGCAGAGAGGUGGUGUACUCUCUUAGCUGUAUUAUCUCUACAUUAAUGUUAAAAGUUUUCAGGAUUUUGUUUUGGCUAAUUUUAAAUCGGUCUUUUUUUCUUCUAAAAAAUUUAAAUGGAAAAUAAGGUUCACUUCAGAUUUAGUGGACAAGGUGCAGACUUAGAUGAGAGACUUUAAUAGAGGUCUCCAUGUUGCUUCUCUUCUACGAUUUUUUUCAAUCGCAGCUUAGUAUUUUUCAUCUGAUCUGCUUGGUUGUUUGUUUUGCAGGUUCCCUCUACCAUGCACAUGUUGAUGUUGUAAGCGAAAGCUUUUUUUUUUUGCAGACAAAAUCGACCACUUUGUUCGUUCAACUGACACGUUUACAAGGCUUAAAUAAUGAGAAGAACGGCUGGAGAAUGAUUUUAGGCCUUGGAUUUUGGGCUCUACAGGUUUUGAAACCAAUUUUUCUCGCUGAUAUCAGAAGAAGUGAACAUGAUUGACAGUGCAUCUCCCCUGCCAGAAAAAUCAGACAGGGUUCGACUAGGAGAAAUAGUGGAACAUGUAUAACGAAACUAUUGGCAGAAGACGAGAAAGGAAAUCAAUUUCCGGACGACGUUCCCCCAGUGUUAUUGCAUGUCUGAUGGGUCUUGAUAUACCGCCACCUGAGCAACAACCUCAUAAAGUGGACAAGGUUUUCAGAGAGUUAUCAAAGGAGAACUGCAACUAUUCUUUUCAUGGAGAAAAAAUACUCCUCGCAAUAUGCUAGGUCACCAAACAUCACAUGUUGUAAAACAUGGUAGCUCAGCAAAUGCUACGAAAACAACAAGUUCGAUGGUAAGUGAGGCUAAGAUCGAAGACAUAAGGCAGAAGUCAUGGAUGUCAAACGUCUCUCUACUGACAGCCAUGGAACACAUGAGCAUGGGUGGAUGCUGCCAGUGUCGUUGGUCUCUUUAUCGAAUGAGAGAAUAUUACAUCUUCUUUGAGCGGAAGGCGUAAAAAGUUGGAGUUGAUUUUGAUUUUCUUAUUCUGACAUGGAAGGAACAAAAUGUGGGAUUUUUUUGGUCGCAUAAAAUUAGAGUUCAUGGGGUAGAUGUAAAGGCAGUGAUGAACUACUCCCUCCGUUUCAAAAAGAUUCGAACAAUUUCUUGCAUCUGACUCACUUAGAUAUUUUUUGUUUGUAGUUUGGGUUCUACUAAAGAAACUAUUGGCAGAAGAAAAAAAAGGAAAUCAAUUUCUAUUCCUUACCAAA